AAAUGCCCAACCGCAUUUCACAGCCACAGGAGAAAGAAAUCAAGAAUCAACCUCCAUCAGGUUAUCCAAAAGAAAAUCAAAGUGGCACUGGAAAGAAAUGCUGCCCUCGUUUUAAAAAGAAAGGGGAGAGGGGAUUCAUUGAGGGAUGCAUCUUUGCUUUGUGUUGCUGUUGGCUUUGCGAAGAAUGCUUCUAAUGGAACUGAUCAUGGAAGUUUGUAAU